ensembl:lncRNA
AGUAUAAAAACAUCAUACAAACUGCCAAUCGGCAGAUUGGAUCUGGCCCUCAAAUUGUCUUGACCCCGGUGGAGGAGCUGGCAAUAGACAUAAAUUCAGGGCGCCCUGGCAUGGAGGGGGUACCUGGAGGUACCUCCUCAGAGAGUCAGGGGCUAUGUGAGGGUGCCCCACUGGUUGAAUUCCCUGUCGACCCUGUCUGCUUACCGGUUACCAAAUCCUCACCCGCCCGACAAUCUGCCUGUCGCCGAGAUCCUGCCUGCCUACCUGUUACCGACCCAUCGCCUGUCCGACCUCCCACCUGUCAUCGAACAUCUGCCUGCCUGCCCGUUGCAGACCAAUCGCCUGUCCGACCUCCCACCUGUCGUCGAACCUCUGCCUGCCUGCCCGUUGCCGAACCAUCGCCUGUCUGGUCUCCUGACGACCUUCGGUCCCCAACCGGAUGGUCGACUCGUCCGCCCCCGGCUCCCCGCCUAUGUCUGCCUUCCCGUUACCGACCCCAUGCCUCCUUAAUUGAAGUAAACUUGUACUUUCGCAACCCCUGUCUUGAGUCGUGCUUCUGGGUUCACGUCCUCUCCGUCUCCUUAUCGGAGCGUGACAGUAGGAGGCCGAUGAAAAUCUUGGUCCGGACGUUGAUGGGUCAUCUGAAAGGACUGAGAUGUGCUCUGCAUCUCCAACAUUAUAGCGAAAACAACCAUUUGCAAAAAAUGGAGGGCUACGCAAAUAGUCUGGAGUGAACUGAGGCCAGGUCCUUUAAUGGUAGUGUUGGCUAUGUAAGGCUGGUUAAGGCUAUUUCAAUAUAAUAAAGAAUUGCGCGAGAAUCUAUAACUCUGCAGCAAAAAGUCAUCCGGACAUGCCAAGAUGUUGAGCCGUGGUCUUAUUAAUCGCUCCCCGUGGAUUGCACGAAUAAUUUGUGCUCCGAUAUCAACAGGCCUCUCAUCAAAAGGGCUUGCCAUUGUGAACACAUGAAAUCUGCGGUGAACACGGGUUUAAAUACCCAAAGCCGGGUUAUGUUCCAAACUUAACCUGCGCAAAAUCUGCUCCGACCAGGUUUGAUUCAGAGCACACGUUUCUAUAGUAACUAACAUACCGUGUUCAUUUUGGAACGAAAAACCUAGGGUUACCGCAAACCCUGGGUUAACUUACCCAGUUAUCUGAUAAGACCGGCUUUGUGGAAUACCCCUCAGAAUACGAUUUAUUGUUGACGGAGUAACAGCUACGCUAUAUGGGUAGCAACAGAACAAAGCACUAAAACGUCACUAUAACACACACACACACACACGUAAAAGUAAAUAAAUAAGCUUUCAUUUCCAGAGUGCCUGGCUGGGAAGUCAAACUCCUUUGGGCGGCAGGGCUCUUCACCAACAGAGUUAGUUGGUGGUGCCGCAGGUGGCGGGACUAACCCAACAUAGGAUUGACCGGAGGGGGGUUAGCAUUGCUGCUGUCCCCUCUACUUGCUGCUCUGAACUCUCCCCCUCAGGGGUGCUGGAGGGACAGGGGGCCGCUGGCAGGGAGUCGGCUGUCUGGCUGGUGUUCUGAAGUUUGGCUAUUUUGGGGCCAGUAUUUAAAAAUCUGAAAUUCGCUUCUGGGACAUGUUGCAACUUGCAGCUCUAUUGAUCUUUCGCACGUAGCAUGUUCUGCGUUGUGCAUCAUACGACAGCAUACACAGACAAUGUUCUAAAAUGAAAUAAUAAUUAUAAAUAUCAUAAAAUUCGGGAUGUGCAUGAUUGCAUAAUGAAAAACCAUCUUGUACGAUAAAAUCUUAUAAACAAAAGGAUUGAUUUGUUCAGAAAAGUUUUUCACUUGCAGUUGCAGCCCCCUCCGGGGGAGGGAGGGGAUGCACCCUCAGCACCCCCCCUUCCCGCGUCCCUGCUCCCCGACCCCCCUUAUCAUUCCUGACCUGGGCACUCCACCACCACCUAUCAUCCGCAUUAUGCUAGACGCUGGCACUAUUAUGUGAGGCUGAACCCUGAAGUCAAGAGACUUAAUUUAUCUUAUGACUGACACUAAUGACUGACACGCUCCCACUACCCAAACACAUAUCAAGAUCCCAUAGUUCCCGUAGUGUGACUUUAUUCCAUGUAGAUGUAGCAGGGUUAAUGCUUCCCACUUGCCAUUGCCAGCGAGAUCCUUGCGCUGGCUGUGGUAGUGGGAGCCUUGGUUGGAGUGCUAGAGCUCCCCCUAGCGGAAUGCGGGGGUUGUAUUUUACGUUGCUGCCUCCUCUCCUCAGUCUACGUAUAUCCCGGCUGGGAGAGGUAGGUAGUCAGAGCAGUUAAACAUGAAUCCACACUUUGGCGAUGUAUUACGGGAGUCUAAAUGUACAUAAUACUUAUUGCGUAGUUCUUCAAGGAAAGGGAUCGAAUCCAAAAGAAUAGCUUUAAAGAGACUUUAUUUGUAUAAAGUAUUUUCGGUAUGGUAAACUGAUACUCUGAAGCAAAGAGAGAUUGAAGAUGUAUUCUAAGCACGUGCUGAGCGUCUCCUAGCUGAUCAAAAACAUAAACCCAUCUAUGUCUAAUAGCUGCCGAGAAGAUUCUGAAGACAAUGCUCGAUCUGUAGGCUGUUAUGGUCUGAACAGCGCGGUCCGGAAGUAGUGGGGGGGGAGCCGAUGUGAGAUAACCCUCGGCUUUCUCGUCUGGUCUGUGGUGCUGCCUUCUGUGGCUAAAGUAUUUAUUACAGCCUUCAGUAAGGUCUUGCUCCCCUUGUGGCUAUGUAUGGUAUUUACGGCUUAUAUGUUUGGUCCUGCUUCAUUGGGUCUAUGUGUGGGUAUCUUAGAUUCUUAAAAUACGUAACAUACUGCAUUAAUACUUGGUUGCUUGUACAUAUAUAUUGUGUUGCUUGGAAUCUGUAAUUACUUUUAAAUGGACUUUAGUCUUAGGAUCGCUAGCUUGGCUACCAUGUGCUUUGGUCGUAGCUACUUAGCUAGCGUCGACUUCGCCAUGAAAGUGUACUUCAGCUUGUCUUUCUCCCAUGUUAGGCUGCCAUUGUGAGGGUUCUCAAAGAACAUUUCCCAUGUUAAAUAUUCCACCAGGUAUGUCACCAAACGCCCAUUCAAAUAUUUUGUGAGUCAUUUGUUUAAUGUGAUAUUUAUUUUCAUGUAAAUGGUCAGUCUACGUAUAUCCCGGCUGGGAGAGGCUGCCAUUGUGAGGGUUCUCAAAGAGCAUUUCCCAUGUUAAAUAUUCCACCAGAAUAAACGGCUGGCUGCCAAUGGUUCCAUCGUGGUCUCAAUCACACAACGCAACGAGAGAGUACACAACCGCUACAAAUGGUGCCGUGACCCGUUCUUCUCUGCCUGUCUGCUGCGUCAUUGAGGAUCGCCAUUCGACACGUGGCACGUAAGCACCGACGACGUGGCCGUGCAGUGAGUCGCCCGUGCUGCUUCGAGUAGACAGGUUCAGUAAUAAAAAUAAAGAGGAAUAAUUCGAACCAAGGGAUAUGGUUGAAGCCGACCAUCUUCUAAAGAUAUAUGUGUUUUAUUUUUGUGUUUUAUUUUAUUUUUAUUUCUCCUUCUCGUGCACAUAAUGCAAAUUGAGUUUAUUUUUUUUGUUUGUUUUAUUUUGCUUUUGAGUUGAACG